AUCAACUUUCGAUGGUAGGAUAGAGGCCUACCAUGGUGGUAACGGGUAACGGGGUGUUAGGGCACGACACCGGAGAGGGAGCCUGAGAAACGGCUACCACAUCCAAGGAUGGCAGCAGGCGCGCAAAUUACCCAAUCCCGACACGGGGAGGUAGUGACAAUAAAUAACAAUACGGGGUUCUUUCGGAUCUCGUAAUUGGAAUGAGUACAAUUUAAAUCUCUUAACGAGGAACAAUUGGAGGGCAAGUCUGGUGCCAGCAGCCGCGGUAAUUCCAGCUCCAAUAGCGUAUAUUAAAGUUGUUGCAGUUAAAAAGCUCGUAGUUGAAUUUCGGGGUUAGUAGGUUGGUCAUGCCUCUGGUAUGUACUGAUCUCACUGAUUCCCCUUCCUUAUGAACCGUAAUGCCAUUAAUUUGGUGUUGCGGGGAAUUUGGACUGUUACUUUGAAAAAAUUAGAGUGUUUAAAGCAGGCUAACGCUUGAAUACAUUAGCAUGGAAUAAUGAAAUAGGACGUUCGAUCUUAUUUUGUUGGUUUCUAGGAUUGACGUAAUGAUUAAUAGGGAUAGUUGGGGGCAUUAGUAUUCAAUUGUCAGAGGUGAAAUUCUUGGAUUUAUUGAAGACUAACUACUGCGAAAGCAUUUGCCAAGGAUGUUUUCAUUAAUCAAGAACGAAAGUUAGGGGAUCGAAGACGAUCAGAUACCGUCGUGUCUUAACCAUACUAUGCCGACUAGGGAUCGGAUGAGUUAAUUUUUUAAUGACUCAUUCGGCGCCUUACGGGAAACCAAAGUGUUUGGGUUC
rnacentral:rRNA from 1 species